AGCGAACGCUGGCGGCAGGCUUAACACAUGCAAGUCGAGCGGGCACUUCGGUGUCAGCGGCAGACGGGUGAGUAACCCGUGGGAACGUACCCUUUGGUUCGGAAUAACGCCGGGAAACUAGCGCUAAUACCGGAUACGCCCUUUUGGGGAAAGGCUUGCUGCCGCAGGAUCGGCCCGCGUCUGAUUAGCUAGUUGGUGGGGUAAUGGCCUACCAAGGCGACGAUCAGUAGCUGGUCUGAGAGGAUGAUCAGCCACACUGGGACUGGGACACGGCCCAGACUCCUACGGGAGGCAGCAGUGGGGAAUAUUGGACAAUGGGCGCAAGCCUGAUCCAGCCAGGCCGCGUGAGUGAUGAAGGCCUUAGGGUUGUAAAGCUCUGUUGACCGGGACGAUAAUGACGGUACCGGAAGAAUAAGCCCCGGCUAACUUCGUG
rnacentral:rRNA from 1 species